rnacentral:rRNA from 1 species
UCUGGUUGAUCCUGCCAGUAGUUAUAUGCUUGUCUCAAAGAUUAAGCCAUGCAUGUCUAAGUACACACGAAUUAAAAGUGAAACCGCAAAAGGCUCAUUAUAUCAGUUAUGGUUCCUUAGAUCGUUAACAGUUACUUGGAUAACUGUGGUAAUUCUAGAGCUAAUACAUGCAAUUAAAACACGGACCUUAUGGGACGUGUGCUUUUAUUAGGCUAAAACCAAGCGAUCGUAAGAUCGUUACAUUGGUUGAACUCUAGAUAACAUGCAGAUCGUAUGGUCUUGUACCGACGACAGAUCUUUCAAAUGUCUGCCCUAUCAACUUUUGAUGGUAGUAUCUAGGACUACCAUGGUUGCAACGGGUAACGGGGAAUCAGGGUUCGAUUCCGGAGAGGGAGCCUGAGAAACGGCUACCACAUCUAAGGAAGGCAGCAGGCGCGUAAAUUACCCACUCCCAGCUCGGGGAGGUAGUGACGAAAAAUAACAAUACAGGACUCAUAUCCGAGGCCCUGUAAUUGGAAUGAGUACACUUUAAAUCCUUUAACAAGGACCAAUUGGAGGGCAAGUCUGGUGCCAGCAGCCGCGGUAAUUCCAGCUCCAAUAGCGUAUAUUAAAGUUGUUGCGGUUAAAACGUUCGUAGUUGAACUUGUGCUUCAUACGGGUAGUACAACUUACAAUUGUGGUUACUACUAUACCUUUAUGUAUGUAAGCGUAUUACCGGUGGAGUUCUUAUAUAUAAUUAAGUACUUGUAUUUUUUUAUAUAUUCCUCCUAUUUAAAAACCUGCAUUAGUGCUCUUCAUCGAGUGUUAUUGUGGGCCGGUACAAUUACUUUGAACAAAUUAGAGUGCUUAAAGCAGGCUUCAAAUGCCUGAAUAUUCUGUGCAUGGGAUAAUGAAAUAAGACCUCUGUUCUGCUUUCAUUGGUUUUCAGAUCAAGAGGUAAUGAUUAAUAGAAGCAGUUUGGGGGCAUUAGUAUUACGACGCGAGAGGUGAAAUUCUUGGACCGUCGUAAGACUAACUUAAGCGAAAGCAUUUGCCAAAGAUGUUUUCAUUAAUCAAGAACGAAAGUUAGAGGUUCGAAGGCGAUCAGAUACCGCCCUA